rnacentral:rRNA from 1 species
UGAGGAAUAUUGGUCAAUGGAGGCAACUCUGAACCAGCCAAGUCGCGUGAAGGAUGAAGGUCUUAUGGAUUGUAAACUUCUUUUAUACAGGAAUAAAUUGGGGGACGUGUCCCCCUUUGCAUGUACUGUAUGAAUAAGGAUCGGCUAACUCCGUGCCAGCAGCCGCGGUAAUACGGAGGAUCCGAGCGUUAUCCGGAUUUAUUGGGUUUAAAGGGUGCGCAGGCGGGAUGUUAAGUCGGCGGUGAAAUUUUGCAGCUCAACUGUAAAAGUGCCUUCGAUACUGGCUUCCUUGAGUGUGGAUGAAGUAGGCGGAAUUUGUAGUGUAGCGGUGAAAUGCUUAGAUAUCACGAGGAACUCCGAUUGCGCAGGCAGCUUACUAAGCCACUACUGACGCUCAUGCACGAAGGCGUGGGGAUCAAACA